rnacentral:rRNA from 1 species
UACGUAGGGUGCAAGCGUUAAUCGGAAUUACUGGGCGUAAAGCGUGCGCAGGCGGUUUUGUAAGCCAGAUGUGAAAGCCCGGGGCUCAACCUCGGAACUGCAUCCGAUACUGCCAUGCUAGAGAACGUGAAGAGGAGUGUAGAAUUCUCGGUAGUAGCAGUGAAAUGCGUAGAGAUGCGGAGGAACACCGAUCGGCGAAGGCAGCCCCCUGGGAUAACACUGACGCUCAUGCACGAAAGCGU